GGGUUGUGAGGUUAAGCGACUAAGCGUACACGGUGGAUGCCCUGGCAGUCAGAGGCGAUGAAGGGCGUGCUAAUCUGCGAUAAGCGCCGGUAAGGUGAUAUGAACCGUUAUAACCGGCGAUACCCGAAUGGGGAAACCCAGUGUGACUCGUCACACUAUCAUUAACUGAAUCCAUAGGUUAAUGAGGCGAACCGGGGGAACUGAAACAUCUAAGUACCCCGAGGAAAAGAAAUCAACCGAGAUUCCCCCAGUAGCGGCGAGCGAACGGGGAGGAGCCCAGAGCCUGAAUCAGCAUGUGUGUUAGUGGAAGCGUCUGGAAAGGCGCGCGAUACAGGGUGACAGCCCCGUACACAAAAGCGCAUGUGCUGUGAGCUCGAUGAGUAGGGCGGGACACGUGGUAUCCUGUCUGAAUAUGGGGGGACCAUCCUCCAAGGCUAAAUACUCCUGACUGACCGAUAGUGAACCAGUACCGUGAGGGAAAGGCGAAAAGAACCCCGGCGAGGGGAGUGAAAAAGAACCUGAAACCGUGUACGUACAAGCAGUGGGAGCCCCACCACCAAAGCAUUUGCUGUACCGCGUUGACGGAGC
rnacentral:rRNA from 1 species